GCGCGGCAAGAGUUGUCCUAGAGGCGGGUCGACCGAGCCCCUGGGGAAUGGGAGGAGGUUGUGGCUGCACGUGUUUGUUGUAGCAACAGUUGUAUGGUUACCACUGGGAGAGUAGAAAGUAUCCUCACACGAAGGGGAUUUUCACUAGCCCAUUGAGGUGAACACAGGGCUGGUUCCAUUGUGCUGAAGUCAACUUCGGAAAGGCAGAUAUUUGGCUGCUGAAAAGGUACUCUAAUAAAUUCAUUUUCAGUUCAACAUCUCCAGCGUUUGAGGAACAUUGAUGGACACCCCUCUGCAUAAAAACGUUUGGAAUGGUGAAAUGUCCCCGCAGAGCCUGUCACCUGCAGGAUGCUCUUCACCUGUUUCUGAUCUGACUCUCCUGUUCUACAGUCUUCACUGCCAGGAAACGAAUACUCCAUGGAGAUAUCUCAAGCCGACGCCAGAGUCACAUUCCCCCCCGGGAGCACAGCGCACACACAAAAGACCGCCUCAGUUGGAGACGCCAACAGUGAGGAAUUCCAUCAAACAUGCAGCGAGCAGAGAGAGGUAAGAACAUGGACUAUAUACAUGCAAUGAUAACUACAGGAUGUUCCAACAGCAUUACCACAAUCUUUGAGUUUAUAUUUCUGUCUCUCUGGUAGGUUGUCACCUGGAUACUCGGCUCCAAAACUGGUAAGCAAUAUUUUCGUGCUUAAGUAGAUCAUUCAGACUUCGAUUGAAACCCUAAAUUAAACAACCCGACUGAAUACUCGUUGACAAUCAGUGUCUUAAAUUGUGUCCUAAGACUGGGUCGCGGUUAGACUCAGGCCCUUUAAAUUCAUCUCAUAAUGAAAUGCAUACAUUUUGGAUGGAUGACUUAUUUCAAAUGCCUUUUCAUAACUAGUUAAUUCGUCUCUUUGUACAAAUAGAAGUGUGUGCGCGUGAAGCUGUCCUCCCGUUUUCCAAACCCAGUGAAUCGAGGGGUCUCUUUGGCCAAGGAACAGUGCAAUACCUCACCAGCAGAGGUCACACUCUCCCAAGAGAAUGAAGAGACGAUGGAGACAGAGGAUGACAUGGUGAGAUUGAUUAACUGAUGUUAAAGGUACUCGUUAUGAACCGAGUGGCUUGGUUUUCUCUGACAGGUUUGCGGUAACAGUCCUUAAUGACCUGCUCAUUUGAACCCUGCAGGCUUUUCUCUCCCUGAGCAGACUCAGGUCCAGACACCAUCCAAACCAGACUCAGAUUCUAGAACCAUGGGCAGAAAACCACCUCAUAGGAGACUUCAGCAAGGUGGGUCAGGAGGUUUCCCAAAUGGUCUUCAUCUUAUCUUAAAGACAUAAAUAUUUCCUUUUUAUCAAUCUGAAAUGCAAUGUAUUGAAUAUUUAAAAUGGGAUUAAUUCAUCAGAGUAGUUCAUCAGAAUUCAAGAAA
rnacentral:lncRNA from 1 species